rnacentral:rRNA from 1 species
GACGAACGCUGGCGGCGUGCUUAACACAUGCAAGUCGAACGGAAAGGCCCUGCUUGCAGGGUACUCGAGUGGCGAACGGGUGAGUAACACGUGGGUGAUCUGCCCUGCACUUCGGGAUAAGCCUGGGAAACUGGGUCUAAUACCGGAUAGGAGCCAUUUUUAGUGUGAUGGUUGGAAAGUUUUUUCGGUGUAGGAUGAGCUCGCGGCCUAUCAGCUUGUUGGUGGGGUAAUGGCCUACCAAGGCGGCGACGGGUAGCCGGCCUGAGAGGGUGGACGGCCACAUUGGGACUGAGAUACGGCCCAGACUCCUACGGGAGGCAGCAGUGGGGAAUAUUGCACAAUGGGCGCAAGCCGGAUGCAGCGACGCCGCGUGGGGGAGGACGGCCUUCGGGUUGUAAACGCCUUUCGCUAGGGACGAAGCUUUUUGUGACGGUACCUAGAUAAGAAGCACCGGCUAACUACGUG